GGAAAAUGGGAGGGGACAAAUAAGGGAAUAAAAGCUAGCCACCCAGCCAGCAGUGACAAUGGGCUGGGGUCCCCUUCCAUGCUGUGGAAGCUUUGUUCUUUUGCUCUUCACAAUAAAUAUUGCUGCUGCUCACUGUUUGGGUCCGUGCCAUCUUUAAGAGCUGUAACACUCACUGUGAAGGUCUGCAGCUGCAUUCCUGAAGUCGGCCAGACCAUGAACCCGCUGGAAGGAACCAACUCUGGACACACUGGGAGCCACCACACCCAGCCAAAAGUUCUUUAUAUAUUCUGAUUACUAGUUCUUUAUCAGGGUAUACAGGCAUGGCACCAGCAUAUGCUUGGCUUCUGAUGAGGCCUCAGAAAGCUUACAAUCAUUGUGAAGCCAAAGGGAGAGCAAGUAUGUCACAUGGCAAGAGCAGGAGAAAGAGAGAGGGAGAAUGAUGCCACACAACCAAAUCUUGCAUGAACUCAGAGCAGCAACUCACUUAUCACCAAGGGGAUGGAGCUAAGCCAUUCUUUGAUUAUUAUCAUCAUCAUCAUCAUCAUCAUCAUCAUUGCAGGGAGCCGAAGGCCCGUGAGACGUGACCAACUCAGCAUUUUGCUGGAGGCUAUAUGAUCAAACAGCAGACUGUUUAUCAUGAAUGCAGGAUGUGGGCAAACUCACACUGCCCUGCCACCAAAAGGUUUGCUGAGAGACAUCACUCCCUGGCACGGGGUUCCUUGCAGUUAUCUACUGAGAAAAUUAGUGCCUAUUGUUCAAAGGAUGCAGUCUCACAAGCCUGCUGUGAACCAAAGCUGGCUGACAAUUACCCAACAAUCACCCCCACCUUUCCUGCUGUCUCUUUUGCCUAAUAAAUACGGAGGGCUGUGUAAAGCUCAGGGCCCUUGUCCACUAGAGGCAAGGUGCCCCCUGACCCCUUCUUCCAAAUAGAUUCUUUUGUCUCUUGUCUUUUAUUCUCAUGUUCACCCCCGCUUUGUUCAGUCCUCCUAGGUCCGUGCAGGCUACAAGUGGCGCCCCGAACAGCGACAGAAUCGGGUGCUCUAUGGUUAUUUUGAGACAAGGUCUUGCUCUGUCACCCAAGCUGGAGUACAGUGGUGUGAUCACUGCUAACUGCAGCCUUGACCUCCUGGGCUCAAGCAAUCCUCCCACCUCAGCCUCCCAAGUAGCUGGGACCAUAGGCACAUACCACUACAUCUG
rnacentral:lncRNA from 1 species